rnacentral:rRNA from 1 species
AGAGUUUGAUCAUGGCUCAGAGCGAACGUUAACGGCAGGCUUAACACAUGCAAGUCGAGCGAGAAAAAGACUUCGGUCUUUAGUAAAGCGGCGAACGGGUGCGUAACACGUAGAUAAUCUGCCUUCUAGAGGGGGAUAACACUUCGAAAGAGGUGCUGUAAUACCGCAUAAGUUCUCAUCCUUUUGUUGGGGUGAGAAGAAAGGGGGCACCCGUAAGGGGCUCUCGCUAGAAGAUGAGUCUGCGGCCCAUCAGCUAGUUGGUGAGGUAAUGGCUCACCAAGGCAAAGACGGGUAGCUGAUCUGAGAGGAUGAUCAGCCACACUGGGACUGAGACACGGCCCAGACUCCUACGGGAGGCAGCAGUGGGGAAUCUUGGGCAAUGGGCGAAAGCCUGACCCAGCCAUGCCGGGUGAGUGAUUGAAGGCCUUCGGGUUGUAAAGCUCUGUGGGGAGGGAAGAAAAAGAUUAAUUUAAUAAAUUAGUCCUUGACGGUACCUUCUUAGCAAGCACCGGCUAACUCCGUGCCAGCAGCCGCGGUAAUACGGAGGGUGCAAACGUUGCUCGGAAUUAUUGGGCGUAAAGCGCGCGUAGGUGGCUUAUUAAGUCGGAUGUGAAAUCCCUUGGCUUAACCAAGGAAGUGCAUCCGAAACUGAUGGGCUAGAGUACAAAAGAGGGUUCUGGAAUUCUCGGUGUAGAGGUGAAAUUCGUAGAUAUCGAGAGGAACACCAGUGGCGAAAGCGAGAGCCUGGAUUGAUACUGACACUAAGGCGCGAAAGCGUGGGGAGCAAACGGGAUUAGAUACCCCGGUAGUCCUGGCCCUAAACGGUGCGCACUUGCUGUGAGCGGAUUUAAAACCCGUUCGUGGCGUAGUUAACACGAUAAGUGCGCCGCCUGAGGAGUACGGUCGCAAGAUUAAAACUCAAAGAAAUUGACGGGGGCCUGCACAAGCGGUGGAGUAUGUGGCUUAAUUCGAUGCAACGCGAAGAACCUUACCUGGUCUUGACAUGCAAGUAGUAGGAGCCUGAAAGGGUGACGAGAUAGCAAUAUCAGCUUGCACAGGUGCUGCAUGGCUGUCGUCAGCUCGUGUCGUGAGAUGUUGGGUUAAGUCCCGCAACGAGCGCAACCCCUGUGUCCUGUUGCCAGCCUCGCAAGAGGGGAACUCUGGACAGACUGCCCCGCUUCAACGGGGAGGAAGGUGGGGAUGACGUCAAGUCAGUAUGGCCCUUACGACCAGGGCUGCACACGUACUACAAUGCCCGGUACAAUGGGCUGCAAACCAGCAAUGGGGAGCAAAUCCUAAAAACCGGGCCCAGUUCAGAUUGCCGGCUGCAACUCGCCGGCAUGAAGCUGGAAUCGCUAGUAAUGGCGCAUCAGCUACGGCGCCGUGAAUACGUUCCCAGGCCUUGUACACACCGCCCGU